rnacentral:rRNA from 1 species
GAGGCAGCAGCCGUGCUAAUUCCAGCUCCAAUAGCGAAUAUUAAAGUUGUUGCAGUUAAAAAGCUCGAAGUUGAACCUUGAGCCUGGAUGGCCGGGCCGCCUCACCGCGUGUACUGGUCCGGCCGGGCCUUUCCUUCUGGGGAACCUCAUGCCCUUCACUGGGCGUGUUGGGGAACCAGGACUUUUACUUUGAAAAAAUUAGAGUGUUCAAAGCAGGCCUUUGCUCGAAUACAUUAGCAUGGAAUAAUAGAAUAGGACGUGAGGUUCUAUUUUGUUGGUUUCUAGGACCGCCGUAAUGAUUAAUAGGGAUAGUCGGGGGCAUCAGUAUUCAAUCGUCAGAGGUGCAAUUCUUGGAUUGAUUGAAGACUAACUACUGCGAAAGCAUUUGCCAAGGAUGUUUUCAUUAAUCAGUAAACGAAAGUUAGGGGAUCAAAGACGAUCAGAUACCGUCGUAGUCUUAACCAUAAACUAUGCCGACUAGGGAUCGCACGGUGUUUCGUAUUUUUGACCCGCUCGGCACCUUACGAGAAAUCAAAGUUUUUUGUCUUUCUGGUGUCUAGUAUGGUCGCGAGGCUGAAACUUAAAAAAAAUUGACGGAAAGCGCACCGCCAGGGCGUGGAGCCUGCGGCUUAAUUUGACUCAGCACGCGGAACUCACCCCGGCCAGACACACUAUGAAUGAAAAGAAUCGACAGCUCCUUCUUUCUCUUGUGUGGGGGGGCAUGACGACAUAUUUAGCUCGAGGGCUUGGUUGCGUAAUGCUCACAGACAAUAACUUAAUUCACUAAUAUCUAGCCCCGCUAUAGGGA